rnacentral:rRNA from 1 species
GAGUUUGAUCAUGGCUCAGAACGUACGCUGGCGGCACGCCUAACACAUGCAAGUCGAACGCAGUAGCAAUACUGAGUGGCAAACGGGUGAGUAUAAUGUGGGAAUCUGCCUUUUGGUUUGGAAUAACACGGGGAAACUUGUGCUAAUACCGAAUAAGCCCUCACGGGGAAAGUUUUAAUGCCGAAAGAUGAGCCCGCACUUGAUUAGCUAGUUGGUAAGGUAAAAGCUUACCAAGGCAAUGAUCAAUAGCUGUUCUUAGAGGAAGACCAGCCACAUUGGGACUGAGACACGGCCCAGACUCCUACGGGAGGCAGCAGUGGGGAAUCUUGCACAAUGGGGGAAACCCUGAUGCAGCGAUGCCGCGUGAGUGAAGAAGGCCUUUGGGUUGUAAAACUCUUUCGUCGGGGAAGAAAAUGACUGUACCCGAAUAAGAAGGUCCGGCUAACUUCGUGCCAGCAGCCGCGGUAAUACGAAGGGACCUAGCGUAGUUCGGAAUUACUGGGCUUAAAGAGCUCGUAGGUGGUUAAAAAAGUUGAUGGUGAAAUCCCAAGGCUCAACCUUGGAACUGCCAUCAAAACUUUUUAGCUAGAGUGUGAUAGAGGUAAGUGGAAUUUCUAGUGUAGAGGUGAAAUUCGUAGAUAUUAGAAAGAACACCAAAUGCGAAGGCAACUUACUGGGUCACUACUGACACUGAGGAGCGAAAGCAUGGGUAGCGAAGAGGAUUAGAUACCCUCGUAGUCCAUGCCGUAAACGAUGUGUGCUAGACGUUGGAAAUAUAUUUUUCAGUGUCGCAGCGAAAGCAUUAAGCACACCGCCUGGGGAGUACGACCGCAAGGUUAAAACUCAAAUGAAUUGACGGGGACCCGCACAAGCAGUGGAGCAUGUGGUUUAAUUCGAAGAUACGCGCAGAACCUUACCAACACUUGACAUGUUCGUCGCGAGACCAAGAGAUUGGUUUCUUCAUUUAGUUGGACGAAACACAGGUGCUGCAUGGCUGUCGUCAGCUCGUGUCGUGAGAUGCUGGGUUAAGUCCCGCAACGAGCGCAACCCCUACUUUUAGUUGCCACCAUUUAGUUGGGCACUUUAAAAGAACUGCCAGUGAUAAGCUGGAGGAAGGUGGGGAUGACGUCAAGUCCUCAUGGCCCUUAUGUGUUGGGCUACACACGUGCUACAAUGGCACUUACAAUGGGAAGCAAAGAGGCGACUCCUAGCUAAUCCCAAAAAUGUGUCUCAGUUCGGAUUGUACUCUGUAACUCGAGUGCAUGAAGCUGGAAUUGCUAGUAAUCGCGGAUCAGCGCGCCGCGGUGAAUACGUUCCCGGGUCUUGUACACACCGCCCGUCACACCAUGGAAGUUGGUUACACCUUAAGGCAAAGCUUAUACCUUUGACUACGGUACGAUCAGCAACUGGGGUGAAGUCGUAACAAGGUAACC